rnacentral:tRNA from 2 species
GACUCUGUAGUGAAAUUCAUGUUGAGUUGCAAGCUCAUCGAUGCGCAUUAGGGUGCGUCAGGGUCU